AUGUAUGCGUGCAAAUGCUCGGACACUGCUGGUGCCAUGUCUUCAUUCGGGAAGCUUACGGAGUACUUCAGCCUGAGGAAGUCGAGGAAUGAGUUCCGCUCAGACCGUCAGAGUGGCCGUCGAAGUGGCAGCUACUGCUAUAGUGUCACCGAAUGCAGAUCACUGGAUAGAAAACUGCAGAGGCCUCUCCUGGGAAAGUCAAGGACCCUUCCCAGCAUUCCUCAGUCCCCUGUCCUCAGCAGGGUUCCUCUUUUGGAUUCAAAAUUGUAUAGGGAGGAGAUGCCAGAGCAGAAGCAGUACAAGAACCACUCUGCCUCAGACUGUCAGAAAGGGUGCACAGUGCCCUCUGCUGGGGAGGCCUGGCAGCUGGAAGACGAUUGUGUGGAGCCUCCCGGGGAUACCGCUCCCCAGACCCAGCUCUGCACUGCCAUGGACGAGGCCCCAUUCAGGCACUUCCAGACGCACUCCUUCUACAUGAGGAAAAGCCUGUCUAUGGACAACCACCUGAGCUCCCUCAGUUACUCUCUCCACCCGUCAGAGACGAAGGCUGAUCGCGUCAAAACCAAGCUCAGGAGGCAGUUUGUGAGUACUUGAUGGGAGGGGUUGCUCUCCCCCCCCCCCCAAUUCCCAUAGUCUAUAUUGAAGGUUACCUGCAUAUGUGCACACAUUCUCAAAAACAGUGACAUGCUGGAUGGUUAUUUUUAUUCAAAACAUGUUAAAAAAUAGUUUGGCUCCCCAGCUUGGUCAAACAGAUGGCAGUAGCAUCGUCUGGAGUUUGGCAAAAUCACACCACAAAACCGAUUUGUCUCGUUUGUCAGGUUUUUAAAUCGCUAAUGUUAAAAGAAAAGCUGUCAUCAGAGACCGCACCUGCUUAGGCUGGGUAAUGCAGUGUGGUAACAUGCUAUCUCUUCAGCUCUGGAAGCUUCCAUUCAAAUCUUGUUUUUAUUUUUUAGGCCUCAAAUAAAAAUGGGUUUGUGGUCUUAUACCA
rnacentral:lncRNA from 1 species